rnacentral:rRNA from 1 species
UUGCCUUAGUAGCGGCGAGUGAGCGGCAAAAGCUCAAAUUUGAAAUCUGGCUCUUUCAGAGUCCGAGUUGUAAUUUGAAGAAGGUAUCUUUGGGUCUGGCUCUUGUCUAUGUUUCUUGGAACAGAACGUCACAGAGGGUGAGAAUCCCGUGCGAUGAGAUGAUCCAGGCCUAUGUAAAGUUCCUUCGAAGAGUCGAGUUGUUUGGGAAUGCAGCUCUAAGUGGGUGGUAAAUUCCAUCUAAAGCUAAAUAUUGGCGAGAGACCGAUAGCGAACAAGUACAGUGAUGGAAAGAUGAAAAGAACUUUGAAAAGAGAGUGAAAAAGUACGUGAAAUUGUUGAAAGGGAAGGGCUUGAGAUCAGACUUGGUAUUUUGUAUGUUACUUCUUCGGGGGUGGCCUCUACAGUUUAUCGGGCCAGCAUCAGUUUGGGCGGUAGGAGAAUUGCGUUGGAAUGUGGCACGGCUUCGGUUGUGUGUUAUAGCCUUCGUCGAUACUGCCAGCCUAGACUGAGGACUGCGGUUUAUACCUAGGAUGUUGGCAUAAUGAUCUUAAGUCGC